CCUACGGGUGGCAGCAGUGGGGAAUAUUGGACAAUGGGCGAAAGCCUGAUCCAGCCAUGCCGCGUGUGUGAAGAAGGCCUUCGGGUUGUAAAGCACUUUCAGUGGGGAAGAAAGCCUUGGGGCUAAUACCCUCGAGGAAGGACAUCACCCACAGAAGAAGCACCGGCUAACUCCGUGCCAGCAGCCGCGGUAAUACGGAGGGUGCGAGCGUUAAUCGGAAUUACUGGGCGUAAAGCGCGCGUAGGCGGUCUGAUAAGCCGGUUGUGAAAGCCCCGGGCUCAACCUGGGAACGGCAUCCGGAACUGUCAGGCUAGAGGGCAGGAGAGGAAGGUAGAAUUCCCGGUGUAGCGGUGAAAUGCGUAGAGAGCGGGAGGAAUACCAGUGGCGAAGGCGGCCUUCUGGACUGACACUGACGCUGAGGUGCGAAAGCGUGGGUAGCAAACAGGAUUAGAUACCCUGGUAGUC
rnacentral:rRNA from 1 species